UAGGGAAUCUUCGGCAAUGGGGGCAACCCUGACCGAGCAACGCCGCGUGAGUGAAGAAGGUUUUCGGAUCGUAAAGCUCUGUUGUAAGAGAAGAACGCGUGUGAGAGUGGAAAGUUCACACAGUGACGGUAACUUACCAGAAAGGGACGGCUAACUACGUGCCAGCAGCCGCGGUAAUACGUAGGUCCCGAGCGUUGUCCGGAUUUAUUGGGCGUAAAGCGAGCGCAGGCGGUUUAAUAAGUCUGAAGUUAAAGGCAGUGGCUUAACCAUUGUUCGCUUUGGAAACUGUUAAACUUGAGUGCAGAAGGGGAGAGUGGAAUUCCAUGUGUAGCGGUGAAAUGCGUAGAUAUAUGGAGGAACACCGGUGGCGAAAGCGGCUCUCUGGUCUGUAACUGACGCUGAGGCUCGAAAGCGUGGGGAGCAAACAGG
rnacentral:rRNA from 1 species